AGCAGCCGCGGUAAUUCCAGCUCCAAUAGCGUAUAUUAAAGUUGUUGCAGUUAAAAAGCUCGUAGUUGAAUUUCGGGAUUGGCGCAUCGGUCGUGCCUCACGGGGUAUGAACUGGUGCAGUCAAUUUCUCACCUUCUGGAGAACCGCGAUGUCCUUAAUUGGGUGCCGCGGGGAACCAGGACCUUUACUUUGAAAAAAUUAGAGUGUUUAAAGCAGGCAUUUUUGCUUGAAUACAUUAGCAUGGAAUAAUAAAAUAGGACGGCAUGGUUCUAUUUUGUUGGUUUCUAGGACCACCGUAAUGAUUAAUAGGGAUAGUUGGGGGCAUUAGUAUUCAAUUGUCAGAGGCGAAAUUCUUGGAUUUAUUGAAGACUAACUACUGCGAAAGCAUUUGCCAAGGAUGUUUUCAUUAAUCAAGAACGAAAGUUAGGGGAUCGAAGACGAUCAGAUACCGUCGUAGUCUUAACCAUAAACUAUGCCGACUAGGAAUCAGACGAUGUUAAUUUUUAAUGACUCGUUUGGC
rnacentral:rRNA from 1 species